rnacentral:rRNA from 1 species
UACGGGGGGAGCAAGCGUUGUUCGGAUUUACUGGGCGUAAAGGGCGCGUAGGCGGUCGUGACAAGUCACUUGUGAAAUCUCCGGGCUUAACUCGGAACGGUCAAGUGAUACUGUCGGACUAGAGUACAGAAGGGGCAACUGGAAUUCUCGGUGUAGCGGUGAAAUGCGUAGAUAUCGAGAGGAACACCUGCGGCGAAGGCGGCUCACUGGACUGGUAUUGACGCUGAGGUGCGAAAGCGUGGGGAGCAAACAGG